UCGAGAAAGGGUCUCCGGGCCCGACCUCCCAUCCUGUGUCUACCCGACCUCUGUUGCCUCGGCGGUCUCGCCCGUCGAGGACACCUACCAAACUCUUGAUGAAUUGUGUGUCUGAGCGUGAAAUUAAAUAAGCACA
rnacentral:misc_RNA from 1 species